AAUUGUUCUUCUUCGUCUUCGCUUGUGUCCUGGCUUUGAGCACGGUGUCCGCGGCGCCAAAAUGGAAGAUUUUCAAGAAAAUUGAACACAUGGGUCAAAACAUUCGUGAUGGUCUCAUCAAGGCAGGCCCUGCAGUUCAAGUCGUGGGUCAAGCCGCAACCAUCUAUAAAGGAAAAUAGAGAAACCCAAAGAAUGAUGCCAUACCAAAAAUAGGAGUUAAUUACAAUACGAAUGCAAGACCAACACUUUGAAUAGAGGUUCGGAUCGAAAUACUUAGAUGCCUCGAUCUCUUGGAACAUUGAAAACAAGUUGUUUUAUAACAAAACCAAAUUUCUCAUUUACAAGUUCUAUUUUUCAUAUCGGCGUCAUUGAUUUGUAACUGAUACCAAUCUAUUUAGUUAAUAAUACCUAGGAUUGGAAUACUUUGUAAUUAAACAUUCGGCGGCGGUUGCUGGUGGAACUAUUUCGCCACAUGUAAUUAUGAUUAUCUGUACAUGCUGCCCCACAUACUCGAAAUAGUAUAUUUUAAUGUAAAAUAAUAGUAUUAUUUGUAAAUAAAUAUUUAAAAUCA